GGAUUAGGCAUGCAAGUCGAACGAGGAUAUGUCCUUCGGGGAUAUAAGCCGAGUGGCGCAAGGGUGAGUAAUGCAUAGAUUCCCUGCCUUUAGGAUAAGGACAACUUUGUGAAAAUGAAGCUAAUACUUAAUAACACAAAAGAAAAUAAUUUUCAUUUGUCAAAUGGAGGGUAGCAAUAUCUUUCGCCUAAAGAGGGGUUUAUGUCCUAUCAACUUGUUGGUGGGGUAAUGGCCUACCAAGGCGAAGACGGGUAGCCGGCCUGAGAGGGUGGUCGGCCACACUGGGGACUGAGACACUGCCCAGACUCCAUACGGGAGGCUGCAGUCGAGAAUCUUUCGCAAUGCCCGAAAGG
rnacentral:rRNA from 1 species